rnacentral:snoRNA from 1 species
GGUGGACGGUGUGCGUGGUGUCCAUCUGCGUCUAGUGCGGUCUCCAUUCUGUGUCUUACAGGCUGUGAGACUGCUCUCAUGCCACAUUCACAGCCACAGAGCCAAUGGAGAUCAUAGUACUGGCCCAGUGACGUCUGAACGACUAUCCACCACUGGCCAGCCUCCAUAGUCUCCUACAAAC